GGAACCCGUUGUUAAGAUUUUGGCAGCUCAUCACUGUGACUAGCCCUGUCCCUUUUGAAGUCAUUGAAUCUACGUCGGCUCAGCUGCACUGGACCACCUCAGCUCAAGGAAGUCCCUCGAGGUGAACUCGAAAACCCCUCUCAGGAAUUAACACAAGAACACCUGCACACAGACCCACUGAAAAACUGGAGCUCCACAUGGGAACACAGAUCAGCCUACGCAGAACAUCUGCAAGAUUAUCGUCCGCAGAAGGGGAGAACGCCAGGCUGAUGGUCUAGCAGACAGCACAUGUUUAGCGUACAGAUGCAGG